GCGUCGAUGGUUCAAUGGUAGAAUGCUCGUUUCCAAAUCAAGUGACCCGGGUUCGAUUCCCGGUCGGUGCA